rnacentral:rRNA from 1 species
AGAGUUUGAUCAUGGCUCAGAUUGAACGCUGGCGGCAGGCCUAACACAUGCAAGUCGAGCGGUAGCACAGAGAGCUUGCUCUCGGGUGACGAGCGGCGGACGGGUGAGUAAUGUCUGGGAAACUGCCUGAUGGAGGGGGAUAACUACUGGAAACGGUAGCUAAUACCGCAUAAUGUCGCAAGACCAAAGUGGGGGACCUUCGGGCCUCAUGCCAUCAGAUGUGCCCAGAUGGGAUUAGCUAGUAGGUGGGGUAACGGCUCACCUAGGCGACGAUCCCUAGCUGGUCUGAGAGGAUGACCAGCCACACUGGAACUGAGACACGGUCCAGACUCCUACGGGAGGCAGCAGUGGGGAAUAUUGCACAAUGGGCGCAAGCCUGAUGCAGCCAUGCCGCGUGUGUGAAGAAGGCCUUCGGGUUGUAAAGCACUUUCAGCGGGGAGGAAGGCGUUGAGGUUAAUAACCUUGGCGAUUGACGUUACCCGCAGAAGAAGCACCGGCUAACUCCGUGCCAGCAGCCGCGGUAAUACGGAGGGUGCAAGCGUUAAUCGGAAUUACUGGGCGUAAAGCGCACGCAGGCGGUCUGUCAAGUCGGAUGUGAAAUCCCCGGGCUCAACCUGGGAACUGCAUUCGAAACUGGCAGGCUAGAGUCUUGUAGAGGGGGGUAGAAUUCCAGGUGUAGCGGUGAAAUGCGUAGAGAUCUGGAGGAAUACCGGUGGCGAAGGCGGCCCCCUGGACAAAGACUGACGCUCAGGUGCGAAAGCGUGGGGAGCAAACAGGAUUAGAUACCCUGGUAGUCCACGCCGUAAACGAUGUCGAUUUGGAGGUUGUGCCCUUGAGGCGUGGCUUCCGGAGCUAACGCGUUAAAUCGACCGCCUGGGGAGUACGGCCGCAAGGUUAAAACUCAAAUGAAUUGACGGGGGCCCGCACAAGCGGUGGAGCAUGUGGUUUAAUUCGAUGCAACGCGAAGAACCUUACCUGGUCUUGACAUCCACAGAACUUUCCAGAGAUGGAUUGGUGCCUUCGGGAACUGUGAGACAGGUGCUGCAUGGCUGUCGUCAGCUCGUGUUGUGAAAUGUUGGGUUAAGUCCCGCAACGAGCGCAACCCUUAUCCUUUGUUGCCAGCGGUCCGGCCGGGAACUCAAAGGAGACUGCCAGUGAUAAACUGGAGGAAGGUGGGGAUGACGUCAAGUCAUCAUGGCCCUUACGACCAGGGCUACACACGUGCUACAAUGGCAUAUACAAAGAGAAGCGACCUCGCGAGAGCAAGCGGACCUCAUAAAGUAUGUCGUAGUCCGGAUUGGAGUCUGCAACUCGACUCCAUGAAGUCGGAAUCGCUAGUAAUCGUAGAUCAGAAUGCUACGGUGAAUACGUUCCCGGGCCUUGUACACACCGCCCGUCACACCAUGGGAGUGGGUUGCAAAAGAAGUAGGUAGCUUAACCUUCGGGAGGGCGCUUACCACUUUGUGAUUCAUGACUGGGGUGAAGUCGUAACAAGGUAACCGUAGGGGAACCUGCGGUUGGAUCACCU